rnacentral:lncRNA from 1 species
GGGGUUAGGACCUGGAGAAGGAGCUGCCCACUGCUUCUGGACAGGGCCCAGGGUCCCGCCUGGCACAGAGACACAGGGCGCCAGUGUGCUGGUCACUGUGAUGAUGCACAGUGCCGGACACACGUGAUGAUGCCCAGAGGCCACCUGCCUAGCAUAGGACAGACAGCCCCCAAACCUCCCACCUGCUGGAAGGAUGAGAAAUCAAAAGAGAACACAAUGUUUCAUUAGAAUGGUGACUUAUUUCUGGAACACCUGGGUUUGUGGGCAGAAAUGAUUCCACGUGUGUUCUAUGACCCAGCUCUCCUUACAGGUCAUGGGAGGAGCAGCCAUCACAUGUGUAGAGUGUUCUGUAGACCACAGAGCACCAUGCAGACGCAAGCCUGACUUUCAUUUCUUUCUAAGACUCUACAGUUAUCCCACCAAAUUUAGUCUCUGAAGCCUCAGCUUCUGUGGUACGAUGCCAGGUGGCUUCACCCCAGCCCUGCUCGGCCCCCAGUCGCAUCCACAUCUCUCUAAGUAUUUGCAAAGGAUGCCCAUUUAAUGCCCCAAAGAUGAAUUCCAUGCGGACAUUCCAUGGGGACCAUCUGUCCACAGUUUGUGCAUGUCCUCGCAUAGCUCACGUUUUUGUGAUCAGUUGAAAAAGCAGAAGCAUAUUUCCCCUGCAUUUCAGAUCAUCUAGCUGCGACUACUCAAGUGCCCAGACUUGGGGAAACACCACAAGUUUCCUCACAAUAACAAGGUGGUGUCAUGCUCCCUGCUUGGGAAAAAGGUGGAAUAAGCAUUUAACCCAAAGCCAACUGGGAGUUUUCAUUCUCACAGGCAGCAGCAGGAUGCUUCCAGGCAGGGCCAGAGCCUCACUGACCUGGGCGCCUGGUGCCCAGAUGGCUUCUGUCUGGCAGAGGCUGGACUGGAUUCUGGUGCUUGCUAAUGUGCAAACUACCAGGCUGCUGGGUGCUUUCUGGAAGCCUCAGAACCAUGCCAUCGACUAGGAAAAGCCAGAGUCCAUGCCAAUUCCCUCCAGAUCUCCAGGAGAAUGGAUGCAGCCCAAGCUGCUCAGUAGAAAUGCUACUGAUUGGAGGGAACAGUUCUUAAAGUUCAGGUUCUCUAAAGUGACUUAGGUUCUAACUCAGGGGUGGGCAGUGAUGGUAAUGCAAGCAUGGUCCCUACCUUCAGGCUGCUUUGCUGGCAACUCGGGGUGAGAAAGUCAAAAUCUUCCUUUCGGAAUCUCCUUCUCCUCUGUCCCAAUCUCUUUUCCAAAACUCUGCUUUAAAACACUACAGCAUUAUUACUUCCCAAAGUCUUUACCCUUUAACCUCUGUCCAAGAUAAAAGUAAAUUCUCCAUAGUGCUCCAAAGUAUUAUGCUUUCUGUUUCCAGAUGUUUCCUAUGUUUUCUAUUUUUCUGAAUAGAUUUCUUCACACUAUGAAAAUCUGAAUCACUCACAAAAACAAACAAAA